GAAAGGACCGACCUUCGGGAGCUUAUACAGGUGUUGCAUGGCUGUCGUCAGCUCGUGUCGUGAGAUGUUCGGUUAAGUCCGCUAACGAGCGCAACCCUCGCCGUAUGUUACAAGUGUCAUACGGGACUGCCGGUAAAAAGCCGGAGGAAGGUGAGGAUGAUGUCAAGUCAGCAUGACCUUUAUAUCCAGGGCUACACACACGCUACAAUGGUCUGUACAAUUGGUUGCCAAGCCGCGAGGCGGAGCCAAUCCGUAAAGCAGGCCUCAGUUCAGAUUGCAGUCUGCAACUCGACUGCAUGAAGCCGGAGUUGCUAGUAACCGCAGGUCAGCAAUACUCGCGGUCCGAAUACGUUCCCGGGCCUU
rnacentral:rRNA from 1 species